rnacentral:rRNA from 1 species
UACGUAGGGCGCAAGCGUUAUCCGGAAUUAUUGGGCGUAAAGAGCUCGUAGGCGGUUUGUCGCGUCUGCCGUGAAAGUCCGGGGCUCAACUCCGGAUCUGCGGUGGGUACGGGCAGACUAGAGUGAUGUAGGGGAGACUGGAAUUCCUGGUGUAGCGGUGAAAUGCGUAGAUAUCAGGAGGAACACCGGUGGCGAAGGCGGCUCUCUGGGACGGUACUGACGCUGAGACGCGAAAGCGUGGGGAGCAAACAGG